AGAGUUUGAUCAUGGCUCAGGAUGAACGCUGGCGGUAUGCGUAACACAUGCAAGUCGAACGAAGUUUUUCGGAACUUAGUGGCGGACGGGUGAGUAACGCGUGAGAAUCUGCCUUAAGGAUUGGGACAACAGUGGGAAACCGCUGCUAAUACCAAAUAUGCCUUUUAGUGAAACGGGUAAAACCGCCUUAAGAUGAGCUCGCGUCUGAUUAGCUAGUUGGUGUGGUAAGAGCGCACCAAGGCAACGAUCAGUAGCUGGUCUGAGAGGACGACCAGCCACACUGGGACUGAGACACGGCCCAGACUCCUACGGGAGGCAGCAGUGAGGAAUUUUCCGCAAUGGGCGAAAGCCUGACGGAGCAAUACCGCGUGAGGGGAGGAAGGUUCUUGGAUUGUAAACCUCUUUUUCUCAGAGAAGAAUAAUGACGGUAUCUGAGGAAUAAGCAUCGGCUAACUCCGUGCCAGCAGCCGCGGUAAUACGGAGGAUGCAAGCGUUAUCCGGAAUGAUUGGGCGUAAAGGGUCUGUAGGUGGUUGUUCAAGUCUGCUGUUAAAGCGUCUGGCUUAACCAGAUAAAGGCGGUGGAAACUGAACGACUAGAGUGCGGUAGGGGUAGAGGGAAUUCCCAGUGUAGCGGUGAAAUGCGUAGAUAUUGGGAAGAACACCUGUGGCGAAAGCGCUCUACUGGACCGCGACUGACACUGAUGGACGAAAGCUAGGGGAGCGAAUGGGAUUAGAUACCCCCGUAGUCC
rnacentral:rRNA from 1 species